rfam:Schistosoma mattheei strain Denwood, Zambia genome assembly, scaffold: SMTD_scaffold0001399
AUCCAGAUGACAAGUUCCAUAUAAAACGAAACGCGCGUUCUGGAU